AGUGAACGCUGGCGGUAGGCCUAACACAUGCAAGUCGAACGGCAGCACAGUAAGAGCUUGCUCUUACGGGUGGCGAGUGGCGGACGGGUGAGGAAUACAUCGGAAUCUACUUUUUCGUGGGGGAUAACGUAGGGAAACUUACGCUAAUACCGCAUACGACCUACGGGUGAAAGCAGGGGAUCUUCUGACCUUGUGCGAUUGAAUGAGCCGAUGUCGGAUUAGCUAGUUGGCGGGGUAAAGGCCUACCAAGGCGACGAUCCGUAGCGGGUAUGAGAGGAUCAUCAGCCACAUUGGAACAGAGACACGGUCCAGACACCUACGGGAGGCAGCAGUCGGGAAUAUUGGACAAUGGGCGAAAGGCUGAUACAGCCAUACCGCGUGAGUGAAGAAGGCGUUAGGGUUGUAAAGCCCUUUUGGUGGGAAAGAAAAGCAGCAGGUUAAUACCCCGCGGUUCUGACGGUACCCAAAGAAUAAGCACCGGCUAACUUCGUG
rnacentral:rRNA from 1 species